rnacentral:rRNA from 1 species
UGGGGAAUAUUGGACAAUGGGCGCAAGCCUGAUCCAGCAAUGCCGCGUGUGUGAGGAAGGCCUUCGGGUUGUAAAGCACUUUUAUCAGGAGCGAAACGCUGUCGGCUAAUACCCGGCGGAACUGACGGUACCUGAGGAAUAAGCACCGGCUAACUUCGUGCCAGCAGCCGCGGUAAUACGAAGGGUGCAAGCGUUAAUCGGAAUUACUGGGCGUAAAGCGUGCGUAGGCGGUUUCUUAAGUCUGCUGUGAAAUCCCCGGGCUCAACCUGGGAAUGGCAGUGGAUACUGGGAGGCUAGAGUGUGUCAGAGGGUGGUGGAAUUCCCGGUGUAGCGGUGAAAUGCGUAGAGAUCGGGAGGAACAUCAGUGGCGAAGGCGGCCACCUGGGACAACACUGACGCUGAGGCACGAAAGCGUGGGGAGCAAACAGGAUUAGAUACCCUGGUAGUCCACGCCCUAAAGCGAUGCGAACUGGAUGUUGGUCUCAACUCGGAGAUCAGUGUCGAAGCUAACGCGUUAAGUUCGCCGCCUGGGGAGUACGGUCGCAAGACU